rnacentral:rRNA from 1 species
GACGAACGUUGGCGGCGCGCUUAACACAUGCAAGUCGAACGGAAAGGCCCUGCUUUUGUGGGGUGCUCGAGUGGCGAACGGGUGAGUAACACGUGAGUAACCUGCCCUUGACUUUGGGAUAACUUCAGGAAACUGGGGCUAAUACCGGAUAGGAGCUCCUGCUGCAUGGUGGGGGUUGGAAAGUUUCGGCGGUUGGGGAUGGACUCGCGGCUUAUCAGCUUGUUGGUGGGGUAGUGGCUUACCAAGGCUUUGACGGGUAGCCGGCCUGAGAGGGUGACCGGCCACAUUGGGACUGAGAUACGGCCCAGACUCCUACGGGAGGCAGCAGUGGGGAAUAUUGCACAAUGGGCGGAAGCCUGAUGCAGCAACGCCGCGUGCGGGAUGACGGCCUUCGGGUUGUAAACCGCUUUCGCCUGUGACGAAGCGUGAGUGACGGUAAUGGGUAAAGAAGCACCGGCUAACUACGUGCCAGCAGCCGCGGUGAUACGUAGGGUGCGAGCGUUGUCCGGAUUUAUUGGGCGUAAAGGGCUCGUAGGUGGUUGAUCGCGUCGGAAGUGUAAUCUUGGGGCUUAACCCUGAGCGUGCUUUCGAUACGGGUUGACUUGAGGAAGGUAGGGGAGAAUGGAAUUCCUGGUGGAGCGGUGGAAUGCGCAGAUAUCAGGAGGAACACCAGUGGCGAAGGCGGUUCUCUGGGCCUUUCCUGACGCUGAGGAGCGAAAGCGUGGGGAGCGAACAGGCUUAGAUACCCUGGUAGUCCACGCUGUAAACGGUGGGUACUAGGUGUGGGGUCCAUUCCACGGGUUCCGUGCCGUAGCUAACGCUUUAAGUACCCCGCCUGGGGAGUACGGCCGCAAGGCUAAAACUCAAAGGAAUUGACGGGGCCCCGCACAAGCGGCGGAGCAUGCGGAUUAAUUCGAUGCAACGCGUAGAACCUUACCUGGGUUUGACAUGGAUCGGGAGUGCUCAGAGAUGGGUGUGCCUCUUUUGGGGUCGGUUCACAGGUGGUGCAUGCCUGUCGUCAGCUCGUGUCGUGAGAUGUUGGGUUAAGUCCCGCAACGAGCGCAACCCUUGUUCACUGUUGCCAGCACGUUAUGGUGGGGACUCAGUGGAGACCGCCGGGGUCAACUCGGAGGAAGGUGGGGAUGACGUCAAGUCAUCAUGCCCCUUAUGUCCAGGGCUUCACGCAUGCUACAAUGGCUGGUACAGAGAGUGGCGAGCCUGUGAGGGUGAGCGAAUCUCGGAAAGCCGGUCUCAGUUCGGAUUGGGGUCUGCAACUCGACCUCAUGAAGUCGGAGUCGCUAGUAAUCGCAGAUCAGCAACGCUGCGGUGAAUACGUUCCCGGGGCU